rnacentral:lncRNA from 1 species
AAGACCAUCUCUUCGACGACGUAGACAAAGGGUUCCCAUCAUGUUCGAUCUGAGAAGAGAGAUGGAGAAGAAGAUGUCCUCCUCAAGGGGUCGACGCCCUCGCUCAGAACUAAAGGAUCCUCGCACAUCGGCACUCACUGCAUAAGCUCAUAGGGCAAGAUGAAGAUCCGGAAAAAGGUUAAAGAGAUCGUCAACUUCGCCUUGGCAUGCUUCCAUCAGCGCUGAAAAGAGAACUAAGGCAAGGCUGUUGAUGUGCCACUGUAUGGAGGGCUCAGAGAGAGUAUAAGCACUUUCCUUCACGCUGAGUGUGAACUUCCGAUUUGAGGCUGCUCUUAGACCAGGAAGAUUGCUUAUGACAUCAAUAGCUUGGUUCACUGAUUCUGACUGUGUCCCACUCACUCUUUCUAGAAACUUGAUAACCUGAAAACCUGGUACU